rnacentral:rRNA from 1 species
GAUGAACGCUGGCGGCGUGCCUAAUACAUGCAAGUCGAGCGAACGGACGAGAAGCUUGCUUCUCUGAUGUUAGCGGCGGACGGGUGAGUAACACGUGGAUAACCUACCUAUAAGACUGGGAUAACUUCGGGAAACCGUAGCUAAUACCGGAUAAUAUUUUGAACCGCAUGGUUCAAAAGUGAAAGACGGUCUUGCUGUCACUUAUAGAUGGAUCCGCGCUGCAUUAGCUAGUUGGUAAGGUAACGGCUUACCAAGGGAACGAUGCAUAGCCGACCUGAGAGGGUGAUCGGCCACACUGGAACUGAGACACGGUCCAGACUCCCACGGGAGGCAGCAGUAGGGAAUCUUCCGCAAAGGGCGAAAGCCUGACGGAGCAACGCCGCGUGAGUGAUGAAGGUCUUCGGAUCGUAAAACUCUGUUAUUAGGGAAGAACAUAUGUGUAAGUAACUGUGCACAUCUUGACGGUACCUAAUCAGAAAGCCACGGCUAACUACGUG